ensembl:lncRNA
AACACUAAAACUAUGAAUAUAUAUUUAUUUAUGCUAUAUUUAUCUAUCUAAUUAUACAAAUGCUGUUUAAAAAGGUGAGUUUUCACCAUCCACAGCAUCCACUGGAGGCCCACCACAGCAUCCACAGCAACCACAGCAUCCACAGCAUCCACAGCAUCCACAGCAUCCACAGCAUCCACACCAUCCACACCAUCCACAGCAUCCACAGGAGGCCCACCACAGCAUCCACAGCAAUCCACAGCAUCCAAAGCAUCCACAGCAUCCACAGCAUCCACAGGAGGCCCACAGCAUCCACAGCAUCCACAGCAUCCACAGGAGGCCCACAGCAUCCACAGCAUCCACAGGAGGCCCACAGCAUCCACAGCAUCCACAGCAUCCACAGGAGGCCCACCACAGCAUCCACAGCACCCACAGCACCCACAUCAUCCACAGCACCCACAUCAUCCACAGCAUCCACAGCAUCCACAGGAGGCCCACCACAGCAUCCACAGGAGGCUCACCACAUCAUCCACAGCUGGGCUAUGCAGGUAACGCAGAGAUUUUCCCCAGUGCAGAUUUCC